rnacentral:rRNA from 1 species
UUUAUUAGCGGAGGAAAAGAAACUAACAAGNAUUCCCCCAGUAACGGCGAGCGAAGUGGGAAUAGCUCGAGCCUGAAAUCCCCGGCAUUCCAUGCCGGAGAAUUGUGGCCGGGAGAGGCAGCUGUGCCCGGACUGGUGCUGUCCAAGUUGACCUGGAAAGGCACGCCAGAGAGGGUGAGAGCCCCGUGCGUGACACUGCCGGUCUGGGACGCUACUGUCUUCGGAGAGUCGGGUUGUUUGGGAUUGCAGCCCAAAGUGGGUGGUAAACUCCAUCUAAAGCUAAAUACCGGCACGAGACCGAUAGCGAACAAGUACCGUGAGGGAAAGGUGAAAAGUACUUUGAAAAGAGAGUCAAAAAGACCGCGAAACCGUUAGGAGGGAAACGAAUGCAGCUGAAGUGGUUCUCUGUCAGGCUCAGGAGACGUCGGCGAGUCCUGCUCGGUAUCGGGAGCCGAAAGGCCCCGGUGCCCCGCUGGGGCUUCCGUCUACUCUGCAAUUCUGCGGGGAGCCGGCCAACGGCAGUUGCUCCCGGCUCAGGAGGGCGCGUGGGGAGGUAGCUCYGUGCCUGCACGGAGAACGUAUAGCCCCGCGUCCUGGCAGUCUGGGAUCGACUGAGGAGAGUUGCGAAUCUUCGCACUGGCAGCGCAGGCCCCACGGGGCUGGGUCGCUCUCGUCGGAGGGGAGGCCGCGGCGGUUCACUGCGUGCAGUGGCUGACGACGGUCCGCCUCCCCGGUGGGAGGCCGGUCACACCUUGCGCUGUGGUUGUUGGUGUCCGAAUGGCUGCAUCCGACCCGUCUUGAAACACGGACCAAGGAGUGCAACAUGCAUGCGAGUCUUGGGGUGGCAAACCCGUCGGCGCAAUGAAAGUGAAGGCAGACGUCUUGGUCUGCCGAGGCGAGAGCCUCCCUCGCGGGGGCCCAUCGUCGACCGAUCCCAGGCUACGCCGUGGCGGGAUUUGAGUGAGAGCGUGCCUGUUGCGACCCGAAAGAUGGUGAACUAUGCCUGAAUAGGGCGAAGCCAGAGGAAACUCUGGUGGAAGCUCGCAGCGAUUCUGACGUGCAAAUCGAUCGUCAAAUUUGGGUAUAGGGGCGAAAGACUAAUCGAACCAUCUAGUAGCUGGUUCCCUCCGAAGUUUCCCUCAGGAUAGCUGGAGCCCGGUGCAGUUUUAUCAGGUAAAGCGAAUGAUUAGAGGUCUUGGGGUUGAAACAACCUCAACCUAUUCUCAAACUUUAAAUGGGUAAGAAGCCCGGCUUGCUUGGUUGAAGUCGGGCAUCGAAUGCCGGGGUUCCUAGUGGGCCAUUUUUGGUAAGCAGAACUGGCGAUGUGGGAUGAACCAAAUGCUGGGUUAAGGUGCCCGAAUCGACGCUCAUCAGAUCCCAUGAAAGGUGUUGGUUGAUAUAGACAGCAGGACGGUGGCCAUGGAAGUCGGAAUCCGCUAAGGAGUG